UACGAAGGGGGCUAGCGUUGCUCGGAAUGACUGGGCGUAAAGAGCGUGUAGGCGGUUAGGUAGGUCCGUUGUGAAAACUCGAGGCUCAACCUCGAGACGCCGAUGGAAACCAUCUAACUAGAGUCCGGAAGAGGAGAGUGGAAUUCCUGGUGUAGCGGUGAAAUGCGCAGAUAUCAGGAAGAACACCCGUGGCUAAGGCGGCUCUCUAGUACGGUACUGACGCUGAGACGCGAAAGCGUGGGGAGCGAACAGG
rnacentral:rRNA from 1 species